ensembl:lncRNA
UACUGACUGACUGACUGUACCCACUGGAAGUAGGAUAUAGCACCUACUGACUGACUGACUGUACCAGCUGGAUGUGGGAUCUAGCACCUACUGACUGACUGACUGUACCAGCUGGACAUCGGAUCUAGCACCUACUGACUGACUGACUGUACCAGCUGAAUGUGGAAUCUAGCACCUACUGACUGACUGACUACUGGAUGUGGGAUCUAGCAGCUACUGACUGACUGUACCAGCUGGACUUGGGAUAUAACACCUACUGACUGACUGUACCGGCUGGAUGUGGGAUCUAGCACCUACUGACUGACUGACUGUACCAGCUAGACAUGGGAUAUAACAUCUACUGACUUACUGACUGUACCGGAUGGAUGUGGGAUCUAGCACCUACUGACUGACUGACUGUACCAGCUGAAUGUGGAAUCUAGCACCUACUGACUGACUGACUACUGGAUGUGGGAUCUAGCAGCUACUGACUGACUGUACCAGCUGGACUUGGGAUAUAACACCUACUGACUGACUGUACCAGCUGGACUUGGGAUAUAACACCUACUGACUGACUCUUCCAGCUGAGGAUGGGAUCUAUCACGUACUGACUGAGUGUACCAGCUGAGGAUGGGAUCUAGCCCUAACUCUGACUGACUGUACCAGAUGAGGACAGGAUCUAGCACGUACUGACUGACUGUGCCAGCUGAUUAAAUCACUUACUGACUGUACCAGCUGAUUACAUAACUGACUGACUCUACCAGCUGGCACGGCGAUGGGAUCUAACACCUACUAACUGUCUGACUGACGGACUUUCUGACCGACUGUCUGACUGAUUAGCUGGCUGACUGGCUAGGCUGACUGGCUAGGCUGACUGACUGACUGACUGACUGACUGGCUGGCUGGCUGGCUGGCUGGCUGGCUGGCUGACUUCCUGACUGAUUGGCUGGCUGGCUGACUGGCUGGCUGAUUGGCUGGCUGACUGAUUGGCUGAUUGGCUGGCUGGCUGACUGGCUGGCUGACUGGCUGGCUGGCUGACUGAUUGGCUGGCUGAUUGGCUGGCUGGCUGACUGGCUGGCUGACUUCCUGACUGAUUGGCUGGCUGGCUGACUGACUGGCUGACUGUCCUUCCAUUGCCUUCUCUCCCCGGGGAUUCAGACGGGAAAACAAAGCCAGAGAACUUGAACCAACUGUAAUGUAACUAGUUAAAGCAGGCGACACACUUGAGUCUGUCUGUCUGUCUGUCUGUUAAAGUCAUGAUUAUUCAAUACUACCAUAAUUAUAUUAUUCUAUUGAUCUGUUAUAGUCAUGAUUAUUCAAUACCACCAUAAUUAUAUUAUUCUGUUGAUAUUGUUGGGGUUGUGAACGUACAGUACAGUAAGAGACUAUUGUUUGUGGAUACUGUACUUUUUAAAGACGAAGCUGAGAACACUGCUGCUACCUGACGGUGACUGUAACAUUAGGUCUGUACGGUGCCCAUAUUAGGACAGCGUCAGUCUCAGCAGGCGUUAUUAGGUCCUGAUCAGACUGAGGAUGUCCUAAUACAGACACCAUAGGUGUGUUAUUUAAUGAUGGUCUGCAUUCCAAAUGGCACCUUGUUCCCUUUGUAGCUGAACUAUUGUUGACCAGAGCCUACGGUGUUGACCAGGUCCUACAGUGUUGACCAGGGCCUACAGUGUUGACCAGAGCCUACGGUGUUGACCAGGUCCUACAGUGUUGACCAGGGCCUACAGUGUUGACCAGGGCCUACAGUGUUGACCAGAGCCUACGGUGUUGACCAGGUCCUACAGUGUUGACCAGGGCCUACAGUGUUGACCAGGGCCUACAGUGUUGACCAGAGCCUACGGUGUUGACCAGGUCCUACAGUGUUGACCAGGGCCUACAGUGUUGACCAGAGCCUACGGUGUUGACCAGGUCCUACGGUGUUGACCAGGACCCACAGUGUUGACCAGGUCCUACGGUGUUGACCAGGGCCUACAGUGUUGACCAGGGCCUACGGUGUUGACCAGGUCCUACAGUGUUGACCAGGGUCUACAGUGUUGACCAGGGUCUACAGUGUUGACCAGGGCCUACAGUGUUGACCAGGGCCUACGGCUGCUGGUGUUGACCAGAUGCUACGGCUGCUGGUGUUGACCAGAUCCUACGGCUGCUGGUGUUGACCAGGUCCUACGGCUGCUGGUGUUGACCAGAUCCUACGGCUGCUGGUGUUGACCAGGUCCUACGGCUGCUGGUGUUGACCAGGUCCUACGGCUGCUGGUCAACAUAGUGUACUCUAUGGGGAACAGGAUGCCAUGUGGAACACAGCCCCUAUUGAAGACCUUUCUAGCUAUGUUGGUUCUGUUGUUUGUGCACGGAAAUGGAAUUAAAUACAACAAGGGCACGUUUUUGUUAUUUUUCAACAUAAUAUAUUUUGCACUGAGACACAAAAAUGUGUUAAUACUGUACAUUUUGUUUUUAGAUGCGUGUAUAAAGCCUCACCAGUGCCACAUAGUUCAAAUGUAUAAAAUAUUGUUGUACUGUGGAAUGUUAAUAGUCUUUUGGAUUGCAAUGUAUUGCCUUUACACACAGUCUGCUGGUUGUCAACACUAUAGGCCAUAAAGGAGGGGCAUCUGACUGCUAUAGAAUUACCGGCCAUAAAGGAGGGGCAUCUGACUGCUAUAGAAUUACCGGCCAUAAAGGAGGGGCAUCUGACUGCUAUAGAAUUACCGGCA